UGGCUCAGGAUGAACGCAGCGACAGGCUUAACACAUGCAAGUCGAGGGGCAGCGGGGGUGAUGGCUUGCCAUCACCUGCCGGCGACCGGCGCACGGGUGAGUAACACGUAUGCAACCUGCCCGCCACAGGGGGAUAAGCGGAAGAAAUUCCGUCUAAUACCGCGUGACGCGGCGCCGGGGCAUCCCGGUGCCGCCAAAGGGAUUACCGGUGGCGGAUGGGCAUGCGGCGCAUUAGCUAGUCGGCGGGGCAACGGCCCACCGAGGCGACGAUGCGUAGGGGUUCUGAGAGGAAGGUCCCCCACACUGGUACUGAGACACGGACCAGACUCCUACGGGAGGCAGCAGUGAGGAAUAUUGGUCAAUGGGCGCGAGCCUGAACCAGCCAAGUCGCGUGAGGGAUGACGUCCUACGGAUUGUAAACCUCUUUUGCCGGGGAGCAAGCGUGCGUUCGUGAACGCGCGUCGAGAGUACCCGGAGAAAAAGCAUCGGCUAACUCCGUGCCAGCAGCCGCGGUAAUACGGAGGAUGCGAGCGUUAUCCGGAUUUAUUGGUUUAAAGGGUGCGUAGGCGGGAUGCCAAGUCAGCGGUAAAAAUGCGGUGCUCAACGCCGUCGAGCCGUUGAAACUGGCGUUCUUGAGUGGGCGAGAAGUAUGCGGAAUGCGUGGUGUAGCGGUGAAAUGCAUAGAUAUCACGCAGAACUCCGAUUGCGAAGGCAGCAUACCGGCGCCCUACUGACGCUGAGGCACGAAAGCGUGGGUAUCGAACAGGAUUAGAUACCCUGGUAGUCCACGCAGUAAACGAUGAAUGCUAACUGUCCGGCUCGAAUGAGCGCUGGGCGGUACAGCGAAAGCGUUAAGCAUUCCACAUGGGGAGUACGCCGGCAACGGUGAAACUCAAAGGAAUUGACGGGGGCCGCACAAGCGGAGGAACAUGUGGUUUAAUUCGAUGAUACGCGAGGAACCUUACCCGGGCUCAAACGCAGGAUGACGGGUCCCGAAAGGGGUCUUUCUUCGGACAUUCUGCGAGGUGCUGCAUGGUUGUCGUCAGCUCGUGCCGUGAGGUGUCGGCUUAAGUGCCAUAACGAGCGCAACCCCUGUCCACAGUUGCCAGCAGGUAAAGCUGGGGACUCUGUGGAGACUGCCGGCGCAAGCUGCGAGGAAGGCGGGGAUGACGUCAAAUCAGCACGGCCCUUACGUCCGGGGCGACACACGUGUUACAAUGGCAGGUACAGCGGGAUGCCACGGGGCGACCCGGCGCUGAACCCGAAAACCUGUCUCAGUUCGGAUUGGAGUCUGCAACCCGACUCCAUGAAGCUGGAUUCGCUAGUAAUCGCGCAUCAGCCACGGCGCGGUGAAUACGUUCCCGGGCCUUGUACACACCGCCCGUCAAGCCAUGGAAGCCGGGGGUACCUGAAGUGCGUGACCGCGAGGAGCGCCCUAGGGUAAAACCGGUGUCUGGGGCUAAGUCGUAACAAGGUA
rnacentral:rRNA from 1 species